CAACUAACCAGGGUACACACCUAAGCUGUGGAAAUGCGUCUCUCCAACCUUUAAAAUAUUUGUCAGACCAUGAACAUCAUCGUUUUGCUCGUUCUCACCGUAAUCCCUGCAUCCAUCAAGAGACGGAGCCACAACGACUGUCGACGAAGCACUCCAGAUCCAACGUCGUAGCCACCACUCGAACAUGGACCGUUCCACGAACUUCUCAGUGCCUGAAGUGCUCCUUCCUUCGCAAAACUCAACCUUGACCUUCAUCCUCUCGCCUCACCAAAGUUCACAAGGCUCAAACAGAAGCUGAAUCCGACUCACCAAGAUCCAUAAUCUUCAAUGCUCGUGUAUGGAAACAAACACGAAAUAACAACACCGUUACAUCGUGAAUCUGAGAAAAAUAAAUGUAUUAAAAUCAUACGAAGGACUUACCGGAUUCAAUAUUUUCUACAACCAGCUAUCAAAGAGUUUUUCUCUUUUGUUUUGAUUGGCCUUCCUUCGAUCCAAUCUUCAAUCUUCUUUUCUUUAUGUUCUUGAUGCAGAGUGAGGUUGCUGAGUUCGACGUAGAGGAUUUCUAAGCUCGAUGUAGAAGAUUGAGCUUGUGCAGAAUGAGAUUGAGAUUGUGCAGAGAGCUAUGAAAAUCGUUUAUGUCGUAAUUCAAUGGAAGAAGAAAUAACUUGGCUUUGAAGGAAAUGGUGACAUGAAGCAUGAAGUGUACGAUUAUGAAAAUGGUGGAUGAAGAAGUUAGGACUAGGUUCUUCAAGUCUUAAGUGGUUGGAUUUUUGGUCAUGAAAAGUGUGGUUGAAUAUGGAUGUUUAGGAACUUAGAUUAGACAUUAGUUCAUGCUUGUUUGGAAUGCAUUUGUAAUUUGUAAUGUGUUUUCCAUGAAAAAUAUGUAUGAACAUGGCUUUGUAAAUGGAAAUCUUGAAAGUUUAUGGAAUUGUAUGGAAAGUUGUAUUUGAAUUUGAAAUUUGUACGACACUUGAAUAUUUGGAAAUUGGAAUGAUGAAUGUUAUUGAA